GAUGAACGCUAGCUACAGGCUUAACACAUGCAAGUCGAGGGACCGGCGCACGGGUGAGUAACACGUAUCCAACCUUCCUUUUACUCGGUGAUAGCCUUUCGAAAUCACGAAUACUACCCGAUAUAAAGGAUGGGGAUGCGUUCCAUUAGGUUGUUGGUGAGGUAACGGCCCACCAAGCCUUCGCUGGAUAGGGGUUCUGAGAGGAAGGUCCCCCAGAUUGGAGCGGAGACCCGGUCCAAAAUGCUACGGGAGGCAGCAGUGAGGAAUAUUGGUCAAUGGGCGUUAGCCUGAACCAGCCAAGUAGCGUGAAGAAUGAAGGGUUAUGGGUCGUAAACUUCUUUUAUAUAAGAAUAUGUAUUAUAUGAAUAAGGAUCGGCUAACUCCGUGCCAGCAGCCGCGGUAAUAC
rnacentral:rRNA from 1 species